GUACUGACCUGGCAGGAGAGCACUAAGACCAUGAAGGUGGUUUUCCCAAGGUGAGCCUCAUCCCUUGCCCUCUGGCUGUGCCGACCCCUGCGCUUUCCCCAAAUGUGGGCAACUUGGCGGCACGACUGUGCUGUGGCUGUGGGGGGAUGGCAUCCCUGUUGUUCCCCA
rfam:Fulmarus glacialis contig97239, whole genome shotgun sequence.